AGAAGCAUCAAAGGAUCAAAAUCAAGAAAUCAAAGCUAGAAAAGGUAAAAACCCUAAAUUCUAGAAAUCCUUCGAUUCGAUGUUAAUUGGUGCAAUUGAUUAUUUAAAGUUGUGUAAUAAGUAGUCUAUUAAUGUUCUGGGUUGUUAAAUUCAGGACCCAUAACAUCAAAGUGCUCAAAAUCAAAGUUUUUCCAACUUUUGUAAAACCGAAUUCUGUUAUUUUUGGGCAAAUGUCAAGCCUUAUAUCUCUG
rnacentral:lncRNA from 1 species